rnacentral:lncRNA from 1 species
UCUUCCGUCGGUCGAGGAGAUCGACUCAGAAGGGUGAUCGGGCCUUGCCGACUUUUGUUUCCUUUGUCUUUUUCCUUUUUGGAAUACUUGUAAUCGGGCUUCGACCCGACUUUGUAAACUUUCUUUGAACUUUGAAUGAAAGCUUCUUUCACUUUAUCCUUCGUCUGUUUCUUUCAUGUGUGUUGCUGAAUGUCUUCGUGAGUCGCUAACUUAUGUAAGUCGCUAACCCCCAUAGGUCGGUUAGGACGUUCGGCAACUCGUGCCGCCACGAAGGUAGAGUAGGUCCCGACUUUGGAUCGGCCUCUGGUAGUCAAGGUCGUCAGUCGGGCGCGUCCGUUGAGUCGGGAGCCGACCGACCGUGAUAAAGGUUCGGUAGUCGGGUCCCCUCUGACGCGUUCAGUCGAAUGUCUUCCGGCGUAUUCGGUCGAGGGAGCACCGAUAAGUCGGACCCUGAUACCCUUGUGUCGGGUAUCCGUACUGCGCCUCACGAUAUGCGGUGGUAAGCCGGAUAUCUU